UUUCAUUAAUUACCGUGCUACUAUGGGUAUUUAUUCUUGUUGGUGUAUUGCAGGUCUCAUGUAUAGAAAAGCUUACCAAAGCAGAACCAAUAACAUAAAAUAUGGGGACUACUGCAGGCUUACUGACACAACACAUGUCUCUUUGGGUUUUGUCCCAACAACUCCCGCAAAUUUCAACAUCAAAUAAUUUAUGCUUUUAGAUCUCAGAGAUAAGAAAUUUGAGGAGAAUGAAACCAGUGACCCAUGGGAAUAUCUAGCAAGGUUCUACGAGACAACAUC
rnacentral:lncRNA from 1 species